ensembl:lncRNA
GCGUGAUGAGACUUGAGCUCGGAAAUGUUUGUUAUGCCAUUUGUCAGUAAUGGUUAGAGCGCCACCUAGUGGGACGACUAUAAUAAUGGUUGAAUGAGAUGAAAUUUUAGCUGGUGGUUAAAUGCAUGAAUUCCAUCAAUGUGACAUCAGAUCGGAAGCGCUGGUUUUAGGUGUUGGGCUUGGCUCGACGCGCCGGGGUGCGAGGGCCCUCAUAUCGCUGCUUGCAGCUUUAAUUAGGGCCCGAGCACCGAGAGUGCGAAGGCCCUAUUGUAUCUGCUC